rnacentral:rRNA from 1 species
GACGAACGCUGGCGGCGUGCUUAACACAUGCAAGUCGAGCGGUAAGGCCCUUUCGGGGGUACGACGAGCGGCGAACGGGUGAGUAACACGUGGGUGGCCUGCCCUCAGCUCUGGGAUAAGCCUGGGAAACCGGGUCUAAUACUGGAUAUGACUCCAUGACGCAUGUUGGUGGGGUGGAAAGCCUUGUGCGGCUGAGGAUGGGCCCGCGGCCUAUCAGCUUGUUGGGUGGGGUGANGGCCUACCAAGGCGACGACGGGUAGCCGGCCUGAGGGGGCGACCGGCCACACUGGGACUGAGACACGGCCCAGACUCCUACGGGAGGCAGCAGUGGGGAAUCUUGCGCAAUGGGCGAAAGCCUGACGCAGCGACGCCGCGUGAGGGAUGACGGCU